CCAAGGAUGUUUUCAUUAAUCAAGAACGAAAGUUAGGGGAUCGAAGACGAUCAGAUACCGUCGUAGUCUUAACCAUAAACGAUGCCGACCAGCGAUUAGGAGACGUUGAAUACAAAACACCACCAUCGGCGCGGUCG
rnacentral:rRNA from 1 species